GAUGAGGAACGUAGCGAAAUGCGAUACUUGGUGUGAAUUACAGAAUCCCGUGAACCAUCGAGUCUUUGAACGCAAGUUGCGCCCGAAGCCAUUAGGCCGAGGGCACGCCUGCCUGGGUGUCACACACCGUUACCCUCGCGCCAACGUCCAUCGUUGGCCGCGGCGCGGGGCGUGCGCUGACCUCCCGCGAGCGGGGUCUCGUGGUUGGUUGAAAAUCGAGUUCGCGGUCGAGGGUGCCGUGAUGAAAUGGUGGAUGGGCGACGCCCGAGGCCAAUCACGCGCGACUCUGUCCGGCUCGGACUCCUGGACCCCUUCGGCGUCUCCGGACGCUCUUUGGCGAGACCUCAGGUCCGGCGGGGCUGCCCGCUGAGUUUAAGCAUAUCAAUAAGCGGAGGA
rnacentral:misc_RNA from 1 species